rnacentral:rRNA from 1 species
GUGGGGAAUAUUGCACAAUGGGGGAAACCCUGAUGCAGCAACGCCGCGUGAGUGAUGAAGGUCUUCGGAUUGUAAAACUCUGUCUUUGGGGACGAUAAUGACGGUACCCAAGGAGGAAGCCACGGCUAACUACGUGCCAGCAGCCGCGGUAAUACAUAGGUGGCAAGCGUUGUCCGGAUUUACUGGGCGUAAAGGGAGCGUAGGCGGAUUUUUAAGUGGGAUGUGAAAUACCCGGGCUUAACCUGGGUGCUGCAUUCCAAACUGGAAGUGUAGAGUACAGGAGGGGAAAGUGGAAUUCCUAGUGUAGCGGUGAAAUGCGUAGAGAUUAGGAAGAACACCGGUGGCGAAGGCGACUUUCUGGACUGUAACUGACGCUGAGGCUCGAAAGCGUGGGGAGCAAACAGGAUUAGAAACCCCGGUAGUCC